ACCGUCGUAGUUGCGCACGCGCUCGCCGGUCACCGGGAAGCGGAACAUCCGGUCGAAGAGGACCGCGUACUGCACGUCGCGGGCCUGC
rnacentral:tRNA from 1 species